CAGCAGGAAGAAAUUACAGAAGAUGAGACCUUCCACCUUCAACACCUUAUAAAGAUUUAAGAGUCAAAAUUGUUUAGUGGGGAAAUGAGGAGAGAGGAGGAGGCUAGGCUGAGGAUGGGGAAGGGGC